rnacentral:rRNA from 1 species
GACGAACGCUGGCGGCGUGCUUAACACAUGCAAGUCGAACGAUGAAGCCAGCUUGCUGGUGGAUUAGUGGCGCACGGGUGAGUAACACGUGGGUGAUCUGCCCCAAACUUUGGGAUAAGCCUGGGAAACUGGGUCUAAUACCGAAUAUGACCGAUACUCGCAUGGGUGUUGGUGGAAAGCUCCGGCGGUUUGGGAUGGGCCCGCGGCCUAUCAGCUUGUUGGUGGGGUAAUGGCCUACCAAGGCGACGACGGGUAGCCGGCCUGAGAGGGCGACCGGCCACACUGGGACUGAGACACGGCCCAGACUCCUACGGGAGGCAGCAGUGGGGAAUAUUGCUCAAUGGGCGCAAGCCUGAUGCAGCGACGCCGCGUGAGGGAUGACGGCCUUCGGGUUGUAAACCUCUUUCACCAGGGACGAAGCGAAAGUGACGGUACCUGGAGAAGAAGCACCGGCCAACUACGUG